GGAUAUUCAGUCUGAGCUAACC
rnacentral:siRNA from 1 species